rnacentral:lncRNA from 1 species
UUACUCCAUUCAGAAGCUGAAUGGUGAGUUGAGGCUGCUGAAUCCAAUAUCCUUGGAGCAACCAAAAGGUCCAAGCUUUACUGUUGAUGGCCACUUGGUGAAAUGGGCAAACUGGGAAUUCCAUCUGAGACCUGACCCAAGAGCAGGCACCAUAAUUUCACAAGUCAAGGUGAGGGACCCCGACACAUUAAAGCUGAGAAAUGUCAUGUACAAAGGGUUCACAUCUGAGCUAUUUGUGCCUUACAUGGAUCCCACAGAAGGUUGGUACUUUAAGACAUACAUGGAUGCUGGUGAGUACGGAUUUGGGUUGCAAGCAAUGCCAUUGGACCCCUUGAAUGAUUGCCCUCGGAAUGCUUACUAUAUGGAUGGUGUUUUUGCAUCUUCUGAUGGAACACCUUAUCUCCAACCCAACAUGAUUUGCAUUUUUGAGAGUUAUGCUGGUGACAUUGCUUGGCGUCAUGCUGAGUGCCCCAUCACUAACCUCAAGGUAAGCUUUUCUCUCAUAGUGUUACGUUUAAUGUCAUGAAACAUCAGAUUCAAGCCAAAAGUUACCAUAUGUAGUUUGUUAGUCCAAGAAAAUUUCAUAACAUCUGCACCAAAACAUCAUCCGAAACACAGUUCAAAUCAAACCCCCCACAUAGCUCUAGUUUGUUGCCAGUUCAAUGAUCAUGAUUCACUGUGGCUUGUUCUUCAUAUAGUUCCAUGGAUUUAUCUCUUUAUUUUGUAUUUGGGCUAUUAUGGCAGGUUACUGAAGUGAGGCCGAAGGUGACACUAGUUGUUAGGAUGGCAGCUGCAGUGGCAAACUAUGACUACAUCGUGGAUUGGGAAUUUCAAACCGACGGGAUAAUCAGAUCAAAGGUUAGAGAUGGAAAUUCAGUUUAUUAGUUUGUUUGUAUUAUUGUUCAGCAUUGAUACUCCCGAUAAACUCUGCAGGCAUGUGUACAAUAAACUAAUCAACGUUUGAUGUGAUACGUUAAGCUUUCUGUAUAAUAAACUUAUCAUCAAGUUACGUGAUACUUUAUCUUUUCAAGUAUUGCUGCAAUCCAAGAUUCCUGAAAACCUUUAACAAUAAUUGAUCACUAGAACGCACCUUUUUCAAUAAUGUGUCCCUUACAAAAUAUAUUGGAUUAUAGGAAAAUCGACAACUUGCACUAUAGAUUGAUGAUUUGGGGUGAGAUGGAUGAACUUAUCUUGAUUGAUGAUCGUGUUUUUGUCUUGUUUAGUUANUACUCAAUAGUUUNAGCUAAUGUAUAGGCAUUUUAUCUGAUGCAGGUUGGACUUAGUGGUAUCUUGAUGGUGAAAGGAACUACCUAUGAGAACAUGGAGCAAGUCCCUGAGAAAGAAUAUCUUUAUGGAACCCUUUUGAGUGAAAACAUUAUUGGUGUAAUCCAUGACCAUUUUAUAACGUAUCAUCUAGACAUGGAUGUUGAUGGGUCAGAGAAUUCAUUUGUUAAGGUGAAGUUAAAGAAGGAAGAGACGAGUUCAGAAGAAUCACCGAGAAAGAGUUAUUUGAAAGCUGUUAAAAAAGUUGCAAAAACAGAGAAAGAUGCAGAAAUUAGACUUAAACUGUAUGAGCCAUGUGAGUUUCAUGUGGUGAAUCCAAUGAAGAAGACAAGAAUAGGGAACCCUGUUGGGUACAAAUUGGUUCCAGGUGGGACAGCAGGUAGCCUGUUGGAUCCAGAAGACCCACCACAGAAAAGAGCAGCCUUUACCAAUAAUCAAAUAUGGGUGACUCCAUACAACAAGACUGAGCAAUGGGCUGGUGGCUUAUUCGUUUACCAGAGCAAAGGAGAUGAUACUCUUCAAGUCUGGUCUAACAGGUCACUCAUUCUACCUUUCUUAUCUCAUGCUUCAGUGUUCAUUCUAUAAUCAUCAACGUCACAUUUCAUAAAAGAAAAUUUUCCUGACUGAUAUUAUUGCUAUGAAUGGGCAUUUAGGUGAAGUUGGUUGAAAUUAAUGUGAUCCAUCAAUUUAUAAACAGGAGCUCUAUAUUGAAAAUUGAAGAUAAACAGAUCCAUCACUUUAGAAACAGGACCACUGACUUUGAAAUGAGACGCAAAUAGUUGAAAUUCAUCUUCAUCCUUCACUUUAGAAGUAGGACCACUAAAUUGGACAUUAGAAAUUAGAUAUCACCAUGGCAACUUAGGAACAACAUUUGAUUUAUGAUUUCAUGUCUUGUGCUGUCAUGGAUCAAGAAAAGGAAAAAGGAACUGUCGUGUACUCAAUAAACUUAGGUUGGAGAAAGUGGUCACUCACCAAAUUCUGAGUUUUUUUGACUUGGAAUAUUGUUGCUUACAUCAACACAGAGGUAUUGAUAUGUGACUUUUUACUAUGCAGGGAUCGUGGAAUUGAGAAUAAGGACAUAGUAUUGUGGUACACAAUAGGAUUUCAUCACAUACCAUGUCAAGAGGACUACCCUAUAAUGCCUACUGUCUCAUCAAGUUUUGAUUUGAAGCCUGUUAAUUUCUUUGAGAGGAAUCCAAUCCUUGGAGUGCCUCCCAAUUUUCAGGAAGAUUUACCUGUUUGUGAGGCUCAUAAAUCAGCUUGAGAUGCAUCUUUUAUUUAUACAUGAAGAAAGUGGUUUGCCCAUACUUAUAUUUAAGGACAAUGAUACUUUGACAACUCUUUUUUAAUAACUUUUUUACAACAGGAUACGUGUCAUCAUUUUAUUGGUAUGUUUGAAUUUAUCUUUAAAAAAAUAUUUGAAACAGACCAAUCAUAGACUGUCACGUAUACGUUGUAAAAAAGUUAUCAAAAAAAGUUGUUAAAGGGACUUUUUCCUAUAUUUAAAUAACUAGUGAGGCUACCCACAAUUGAACUAUCAUGUUAAACUUUUAGAAUUUUAGAAUGUGACUUGAAUCCUAAUGUAUAUCAAACAAUGGCUGAAUGAUAUUAAACAAAAUCAAACAAUGGCUGAAUGAUAUUAAACAAAAUUUUCAUUAAGAAGUUUUGUUGGUUGCUAGUUCAUGAUACAAAUUAUGUUUAUUGCUUACUCAUACUAAACAACCUCAAAAACAAAAGAACUAUAUCCAAAUAUUCAUGUUUCAUCCUAGUAUCUUGCUCUUUAAAAUUAUGAGAAAUUGGCUCCUUAACUCUAUCAUUGUUUCAUAAAUGUGUGACAUUAUUGGUUUUACAUCAUCAUCUACAAGUGGAAAUCACACAUUUUAGACAAUAUGUGAUUCAUCUCCAAAAUUGUCAUUACAUAUUUUCUUUAUUGCUUAAAAUAUAUAUGUUUUUUUGAAUAAUUGUUUCUUUAAAUAAUCAUUUUUCUAAGUUAUUAUAUUUUAUAUAAUUUUUUUUCAAAAUAAAUCUGUUUAAUUAAUUAUUUUCUAAACAGUUUUUUAAAAUAAUUGUUUUUUUUUAAAUUCAAAUUUAUAAAUUCUCUUUCCCUCAUUUUUAAAUGAAAAAAAAAAUUCAAUUUAGAUUUCAGUUUGCCAGGAUUAAAUUUGAAUUGAUUUUUUUACAAAAUUACAUCUAAACCACUGCAAUAAAUCAUGUUAUUUGGUGAUUAUGUGGCAAAAUAUGCUAUUUGAAUUAAAAAAGAUCUAACAUUUUUUAUCUAAAAAUGAAAAUAGUGUAUUGGGCACAUUAUGUUAUGUUAUUGGUGAAUCUCAUGAAAUUUUCUCACAACUCCUCUUAUGGUGCGUAUGCAUGAAAGAAAAAUGGAUGAAACGAAGGAAGUUCGUGUGGAUAUACUUAAAUUUUAUGAUUUUAUUAAUAAUUUAGUUUAAAUAUUAUUUUGUUAGUUUUUGGGUUUAGAUCUCUACAUUAAUAAGAUAUCAAGUUAUUUGUUUUUGGUACUAUUUUAAAAAUCUUUUAUUAAUGAAGAAAUUUUAUAUGUACAUAAAUUUAUGUUUAUUUUUUAUUUUAUUCUGAGACUUUGUUUGUAUCCAACCAUUUGAGUAGUAAAAUAUUAAUUAAAAUUUAACAAAAUUAACUAUUCGGUAUUAAAUAUUAUAAUAUGCAAUUGUAGAAAUAUAUUCAUUAUUCUCUCUGAAAAAGUAAAGAGUAAAGAAAAGGAGAUUAUUUGAAAAUGAGUUAAUAAUUAUAAAAUAAAAGAGUGAUAAAAUACAUUGGAACAAAAAUAACGAAAAUUUAAAUAACUGAAUUUAUGUUUCUAAUAAUUGUAAAACAACGGUUUGAUAAAUAAAUUGAAACAAAAUAUUAGAAUUUUUUAUUUUGUAAUUAUAAAACAACAAUGGAAAUUAAAUAACUAGAAUUUAUUAAAAUAAAGAAAAAUCAAGUACUUUAAACAAUUUAAAUCGAAAAUUAAUCAAUUUAUAAUUAUUACUAAAAGAUUAAAUUGAAAAUGAAUCAAUUUAUAAUGAUUACCAAAAAUUGAAUGAAACCAUAAAAAUGAACAAAAAUGCUAAGAUAUACAAUGCUCCAUUAAAUUGAAACUAAUAACCAUAAAUAGAUAAAAAAAAUAAUGAAAUAAAUUUAAAUUUAAAUUAAGUUGAAAAUUAUUGAAACCCAAUUAAGAGAAAAAUUAAAUGCAUGCAAAACUAAUAUUAAAAAUGUUAACCAAAAUGUCAAUGUAAUAUUAAAUAAAUAAAUAAAUAGCAAAUAAAUUAUAUUUCAAGUCUAGAAUGAUUAUAAUGUAUUAAAGGUGAUGAUGAAUGACAUAAGUAUAAAAGUGAUGUAUGAGUAAAUAUAAAAAACUGUAAUUGAAUAUAACACAAUAAAACUGUGGAUGCAUAAUUGUGAAAUAAUAGGUAAAAUAAAUAAAAUAUCAAGUAUUAGGUUUAAAUAAAAUGACCAAACAAGUAGCUAAAAUAAAUUAGACCAAACACAUGGAUAAAUAAAGCAACUAAAAGAUUAAAUAAAAAUUUGAAGGCUUAAAUCCUUAAUUGGUCCCCAUGUUAGGAGGGAAUUUUCAAUUUAGUACCCGCUUUUAAAAGUGUAUACAUUGGGUCCCAUGUUUGUGUCAAUUUAGUGAAUUAAUGACACUUCAAACAAGUUUGUAAUAGCAAUUAGAAAGUCUCCACUUGCAACUCAAACAGUUAAUAAACAUACUGCAACUCAAAAUGACUUUUCCACUUGUAAUUUUCAAGCCAAAUUGAUGGUUCAAAGGGACUAAAUUGACACAAAUUGCAAAACAUAGAGACCCAAUGUAUACACUUUUAAAAGCGGGUACUAAACUGAAAAUUCCCUAUUAACAUGGGGACCAAUUAAGGAUUUAAGCCAAAUGUGAAAUAUAUUAAGAAGAGAACUAAUUGAGAAGUUGUAAAGACUCUUUGUUAAUUAUGUGACUCAAAAUUAUAAGAGAACAAGGUAGAAGAAGGGAGGCUUUUUGCUUUAAUUUGGUUAACAUUGUGCUUUGUUUCCAAGUCUCUAUGUAUAAAGGACUAACCAAAAACGUUAUUAAAGAAACAAAUUUUGAAAUUAAUUAAAAUAAGAAAACUUGAUUAGAGCAAUUCAACUUUUUUUUCUAAUUAAAAUUAUCACAAAAAUAUAUUGCAUUCAAUUAUUGAAAUUUGCUAAAUUAACUUCUAAUAAUUAAUUUGAAUGAUUUACCAUCUUCAUCAUCAAUUGGCUCAUUGAAUUGUUCACCAUUCACAUUAUCUCCAAUGGGUUGAACAAGAUUGUGCUUUGAUUUCCAUCAAUUUGGUGCAUAUUAAAUAAUAUUGAAUUACCUUUCUCCUAGGAAAAAAAAUAUAUGCAAGUGCAUAGCUGAAUGUAUGCUUUAAUGCUAAAAUUAUAUAAAAUGCAAUAAAUUUAAUAAAAUUGAAUUAUGUUAUGUUUUUAUUAAAAGAUUAUAAAUGCCAUGAUUUAUAAAAAUAUUAAUUAGUUUAGAAAAUAUUUUUUAUUAAGAAAUAAAUAGUAGAACGACAUAUCUAACAUUCCAUUUAAUAGUAUAAACUAUUAAACAAAAUAUUAUAAAUUUUGAUAUUGUAUAGUAAAUAGGUAUAUUGAAUACAAAAUAUAAAUACACUUAUUAUGAGUAAUAACCAUAUAGAUAUUUUAUAUUUGAUUUAAUACCCAACUUUGUCCCUAGUUUGGUUGGCAAAUCUCAAUUUAGUCCCUCUUUAGAAAAGUGUUUGAAAUUGGUCCUUACUUUUAAAUUUUUGAGUCAAAAUAGUCCCUUCCCUUAAAUGAUGACAAACGGUGUUAAAUUUUUUUUUCUCUCUUCUCAUUUUCUGUGCAUUGCAGGUUUNNNNNNNNNNNNNNNNNNNNNNNNNNNNNNNNNNNNNNNNNNNNNNNNNNNNNNNNNNNNNNNNNNNNNNNNNNNNNNNNNNNNNNNNNNNNNNNNNNNNNNNNNNNNNNNNNNNNNNNNNNNNNNNNNNNNNNNNNNNNNNNNNNNNNNNNNNNNNNNNNNNNNNNNNNNNNNNNNNNNNNNNNNNNNNNNNNNNNNNNNNNNNNNNNNNNNNNNNNNNNNNNNNNNNNUUUACAGGAAUUAAAAAUAUAUAUUUAGAUUUAUUUUUAAUCAAUUUUUCAAAAUUUAAAAAAAUGUAUUGUAAAAGUAAUAACUAAAUAAAAAUAUUUUUUUAAAGAGAAUCACAUUUAUAAAGAAGUAGAAAGGUAUUCCAACUAAAUUUUUUUGACUUUAUUAUUCAAGGAUAUUAAAUUUUUUUGUUUUUGUUUAAAUUUUAUUUUUUAUUUAGUUAUAUACAUCAUAAAAACAAAAUAUUAUUUAGUUAUACAUCAUAAAAUUUAAACAAAAAAAAAUCAUUAAAAAAUUAAAUUUUUUAUUUAAUCAUAUUAAAUUUUAUUGNGAAAAGUACAAUAAUCAUUAAAUACUACAAAAACCUGCAAUGCACAUAAAAUGAGAAGAGAGAGAAAAAAAAUUUAACACCGUUUGUCAUUAUUUAACGGAAGGGACUAUUUUGACUCAAAAAUUUAAAAGUAAGGACCAAUUUCAAACACUUUUCUAAAGAGGGACUAAAUUAAGAUUUAUCAACCAAACUAAGGACAAAGUUGGGUAUUAAACCUUUAUAUUUUAUAUACAUAAGUUUUUUCAAAAAAAAAAAAAACAUAAAGUUUUAUAUUUAAAGUAAACAAAAUAAUAAUAAAACAUAGGAUCACUUAACUGCAUCUUCUGCCUUCAAUGAAGGAGUAUCGGCACCUAAUUCUCCUUCUGGUCACACUAUUAGGAGAUCAUAGCCAAACGAUAAACACACAUACACAAACAGACAAACAAGAAAGAGUAAACUAAUAUUUUAAAAGAAUUUAUAAUAUUAAUCAUUCAAGCAAAUCAUAUAAUACCACAUCACAAUAUUCAAAUUUCACUUUUUAUAAGGAAUACAACAAAAGUUUCUAGACUCAAUUUAUUCGGAUACAUGUAUUGAUGUAAAUUUUCAAUAAAGGUGUGUACCCGUGGUAGAAUUUAUACUCUAUAGAGAUAUCAAGACGGAGUUAAUCUCUUAACUGGAAACCAAAGUCUAGGUAAAGAUCACCUCUAAUAAUUGACGUCGUUUAUCUCUACUUAACAGAAAGGGCUUAUUUGUUAUACAUUUUCAAAAUUGAGGACCCAAUUGAGACGUCUUAAAAUGAGAGGAUCCAAUCACUAGUAGAAAAAUUGCUUUUUAUGACGGGUAAAAGUGACCUAUUAUGACGGAUAACUUGGCAUCAUAGUUCUGGGCACCAUAAUAGGUCCUGUGCAUUUUAUGACGGACAGAAAAGUCCAUCAUAAUAGAUAUAGUGUAUUAUGACUGACUUUCUGUCACCUAUCAUAAUAGGUCCAGUGUAUUAUGACAGAUUUUCACUUAUCCGUCAUAAUAUAGCGACUUUACCUAUCAUAAUAUGUAACGUUUUAUGACGAUGAUUCUUUCACCUAUCAUAAUAUGUAGAACAUAUUAUGACAAGUAAUUGUUCACCUAUCAUAAUAUAUAUACUUUUCAGAAAUAAGCUUUUAUUACAUGUAUUGUUCGACUAUCAUAAAAACUUGUUAGAUUGUACAUCGUCUAACACAAUCUCUUCAAAUGUCUUUGAACAUACUACCAUUUGAAGCAUGAUCGAUGGGGAUAACUUUUAAUAGAGAAACCUAUUUUAUAACCAUUGAUGAUUUUACCAAACAUCAAUUCAAGGAUAUAGCAGAAAGAAAAAACAUGCAUAGAAAGAAAAGAAAUCUACUUAUAAGAGCUUUUCUCAUAUCCGUGUAGAUUUGAGAAAGACACUAUACUUAAGAAAAAAAAAGUACUUGUAUUUUAACAUGUUAACUUUACACUUAAUCUUACAGUUCUAAUUUAUGAUAAGAAAUGAAAACAAUAUUCCAAAAUUUACAAACAAUAUCACAGUACUGCCCUGCAAAUAAAAACAAGUAAAACAUGUUGUAUAUCCAAUGAGAUGAGUAAUCUGGAUAGCCAAUAGGAAACUUGAAUUCCCAAGAUAGUCUUGACAUUUUAAUAAGUUAAAGUUGAAAUAAAUCAUCAAGAUAUUUAUCCUUCCUAAUAUUUCAUCAUCUCACUUAGGUGCUAGAAAAUAGGGCAGAUAGCAUGCCAAGUUCCUUUGGCUUGGGAUUUUUAAUUUUAUUUAACAAGGACACACAGGUGAAGGGGGAGUGAUCUAGAUUAGGAAUUAUUGGACAAUUGGAGUAGUAAUGGUGAUGAAAAAAACAAAUAAACACUUGGAAGUGGUUGCUUAUUUUAAACUAAAUAAUAUUGAUGACUACUUUAGAAACAAUAUCUCUUCUAUCAAUAAAAGCAUUCAAAAACUUUACUGACCUUAGUCAGAAGCUGAUUUACUUUGCUGUCGUGAAGUCCAGUACCUUAGAUAUAAUAAAGAAAGUAUUCCAAGGGUAUAAAGUUUCACUAAUACCAUAAAUUAAUGAAUAACAAUGAGCACCUUAGAUAUAAAUCAAAAAAAUGUAUGCAAAAGGUUUGCUAAGAAUCUUUAAGUGAAUAACAUUGGCAUGUAUCUCCUUCGCCUAGUAUACAUACCAACAUAAACAAUGGUUUAAUAGAAAACUAUUCUAGGGAUUAAUUAAAAAAGAAAAGCAAGGCCAUAAACUUUGCAACCAUGAGUCUCUACUUAGUCAAUACCUCCAGCCUGUUUUCCCAAUAUGUUCCAUACUUAAAGUUGGACCAGCCUUAACAACAAAUUGUGGAAGUUCUUUGAAAAAAUCUGCAAUGCUGUUGAAUAGAACAUGAAUAUGAAAGUAAGUACUAUAAAAAAUACAAAGUACAAACUAACAUGCUAGUCAAAAGUGAUUGUUUACUAAAUGAAGAUACACUAGUUUUCUUCAACCUGUUCAGUGACAAAAAAUGGUCAUUACAAGUGAUUGUUUACUAAAUGCAACUUCAUCUUGCUAGAAAGUGUCCUACGCAAAAAGGCUCAACCGGACCUCAAAUAUAUCAUUUCCAAUAAAGCUUCUUUUUUUUUUUACCUUGAAACUGUAGUAGCAAUAUCAUUAAGUUAAUACAAAAUAUCAUUCUUGUAUUAAAUUAAUACAAAAUAUCAUUAAGAUUUAAAAAUAUUACAAUCCAACAAAUUAAAAAUGUUAUAUGAAACUCAGAAAUAAGAAAAUGACGAACUAACCGAGAGACCAACGACAACACGUAGUAAAGAAAGCUUGUUAUUGGCAACUCUUAAGUUCACAUUGUCACUAAAUGUUAAUUUAGCAUUCUGUAUAUAUUAAUUAUAUUGGUGCAAGUAUUUCAAAUCCAAAACCAUGAUAGUUAAGCUAUAAUCACAGGAAAUUUAUAAACUUUUGACGCAUCGCAGAAACAAAAUUGGAAACUUCUAAAGGAGAAUCAAACUGCAUAGACAGUGAUGAAUCAAUCACAUAAAAGAAUAUACAAUUAAGGAAAAAACAAGAACAAAACAAAAGAAACUUACGAAGGUUCAAGAUCACGGUGAACAAUGGGUGAUGGCAUAUUUUCAUGCAAAUAACCCACUCCCCUGCAUAAUUUCAAAUAAAAAAUGGUAUUGAGUACACUUAAUAAACAAAAAGAUAAAAAAAAGGUUAGCAGAGACAUCAUUAUCAGAACCCAACAAAUGUCUCAUCUAAAUAUAAUUUACAUUAAAUGUAUUUUGAGAACUUGUGUUUUUCAUGCCAGAUUACAACAAAAACAAAAUAGAUCUAGAAAUUUGCUUUUACAUUUUACUAAAAAAUGUAUACAGACUAGGUGAUUUAAAUUUGAAAUUCAAAACUCUUGCCUCAUCAACAAUCAGCACGCGCACAGUUUCAAGCGAAAAAAUAUGUCUUUCAAGCAUUUGGCAUAAACUCCCAAUUGUUGCAACAACUAUUGUUGGUGGCUCUGCUUGAAACCUGAGAAAGUUAAACAAGGCAAAAAAGCAGGAAAAAGGGUCUUUUCUAAUAAGACUUAAUGAUUCCAGCGACCAGUUAAGAGAAUAUAAAAAAAUCAAGGUAAAUGAAAGCAAUGUUCAAAAGGAGCAGUCAUUUAUCAUCAUUCUCAUGUCAUAUGUAAAGGUUUGAGAUACAUUUAGGUAAACAACUUAAUUAAGCACUUUUUUCAAUAAGCUUUUGUCGAAGUGUUUAUCCAUAAGCAAAAAAGAGCUUAUCUUGAUAAGCUUUUCCAUGAAACUUAUUGAAAAAAGUUAAACAGAGCUUAAAGAAAAUUCAUGAGCCACUUCCAUAAGAACAAAUAAGCACUUCCAAUAGAAAGAAUUUAUAAUAUUUAAAACAUAAAAUUAUCUAUACUACGCUGUAUAAGAAUUUAGGACUAANUGGGUUUUUAUGGGAUUCAAACCAUUUUCCUAUAAAGGUCUAAAGCUGUUUAAUGUUUUGAUUCCAAAUAAUCAGUACCCUAAAAUUAAUUCACACCAAAGCAUUUUGCAUCCAUGAACAGCUGUGGCUUCCAAAAAAUGGAACAGAGCUAAGUAAGAAAUUACAGAAUGAAUUAAUUGCAUCAAUAGUAUGAACAUAAUUAGAUUUUGAACAGAAGAGUCAGUAGAUUUAAUCAUGAUAGGCAUCCAGAAUUUACUCGAGAAUUCGAAGACAAAUUCUUGGAUGUCUUAUUAGAAACAGAAGAGAACAGAACAAUUCAACCAAUGUGGUAAGAACAUGAACAAUCAGGUACAACACUCAAGGUCUUACGAGAGGACCUGUCUAUCCUAACUUUUUCCCUUUUCAAAACAACACUCCAAAAACUCCCUGCUCACCUCCUAAAACGACUAUUUAUAAUAGUCUGUUACAGUUAUGUGAUUACAAAUGUACUUCCUUUUUCCUUAUUUUAUAAAUUGUAUCAAACCUAUCAGAUAGAAGGUAAGACAAAAAUCUCAGCAGUUUAUGUUUGAUUAAAAGAAAUAAAACUAAACUUUUUCCAGGAGCAUUCAACAAACCUCCAUCCAUCUCAUUGGAAUGCAUCCGAACCAAGCGUGGAACCUACAUUAGAUAAAAGAAAGGAUUCAGACACAAAUUCACAAACAAUUUGAAGCCUAUUUAGCUACAAUACACGAAAAACCAACUCCAGUACAAUAAACUAACAACUCAUAUCGACCAGCUCCAUAUGAAUCAUUUUACCCCAAAAGCUGGAAUGAACACUAAAAUCUUCACCCUGAAAUCUUAAAUGAACACACGCUUGACCAUAUCUAACAGCUCCGCAUGAAACGCUUAAUCCUAAAAACUGAAAUUAUACUGGACAACGAAAUAACAGAAUAAACACUAGCAGUGGUAAUCGAAUGCCUCAAUGGUGUUAACCUAAAAGUUCAAGUGAUAAAUCCUAAAGUCAAGAAGAGCAAGAAGUAAAACUACCUCAAUGAUUUCAUCCGAAGAGGAGGCACAAAGUGGCAAAUCAUCGGUUAAAACCCUAAUUUUACAUCCAGUGUUCUUCUUGGUCAUCUGCACCACUCUACCGCCUUUGCCGAUGACAGAGCCGGCUUGCGCAGCCUCCGCCACAAGCCGGCAAGACAUCAGCAUGUCACCGACGUCGACACCCUCCGUCUCCGCUGCCACAUCGAGGAUCCUAUCGAACACCAACAAUAGCGCUUCCUGCGCCUUCAAAACCUCAUCAUUUCUCAGCAGAACAUUGCCGCUGACGGCAACGUCAGCAAUGACCAGGAUGAUACGGUCCGGCAACUCAGGCGACGAUAUCACCACCGAGAGGUCGUUGUAGAUGAAGAAUGCGCAGGUUUUAGAGAUAGCGUAUUAGAAAAGCAGAUAUUAUGACUGAUUUCUGAAAGUCAGUCAUAAUAUAUUAAUAGAUUUCAAAUAAUAGAAGCGUACAUGAAAAGCAGAUAUUAUGACUGAUUUAUAAAAGUGAGUCAUAAUAUAUUAAUAAAUUUCAAAUAAUAGUUUUAUAUUUAUUAUAUUAUGAUUGAUGUACAAAAAUACGUCAUAAUAUAUUUUAAAUUUAUUUAUAAAUUUGUCACAAUGUUUAAUAUUAUAACUGAUAUAUAAAACUAUGUCAUAAUAUAUUUUAUUUUUAUUACAAUUUUGUCACUGAUCAACAUAUUAUGAUAAAUAAUUUUUAUCCGUCAUAAUAAGUUUCGUGGAAAGUUAUUUUUCCACUAGUGAAUUGAGAUUCCUAUACAAAUAUGAGGACCAUCCGAGGGUUUUAACCUAAUAUUUACACUCUACUAAGUCCUAACAUAAGGGUUAUCACCCUACCAUUCACAAGGUUAAUCUUUUCAUCCCUAACCAAAAGUAUAGGAAAGAGACCUCAUGUCAUUCUCUCCCUCACUCUAUUAAUCUAUAUAUAAGUUGAAUAACUGGUAAAAUAUUAGAAUACUUAUUUUCAAAACUCUCGUACGUUAAAGCAUACAUUAAGCAUACCACAACCAAUUCGUCCUUGGAUUGGUUCCCAUCAUUCACAUAUCAUAACCAUUGUUUUAACAUUCACAUAAUCACACACAUUAAAUAUAUAAUAAGAGAUAUAUGCAAAUUAAGUUAAAAUUAUGAUAUUUUCGUUCAGUUGCAAGAUCUGUUCGCUCAACUAGUAGGGCUUGACAACACAUUCGCUUAGUCACCAGAUCUGCUCGCUCAGGGAGUAGUGCUUGACAACACACUCUCUCAGCCACCAUAUAUGCUUGCUUAGCAAGUAGUGCUUGACAACACACUUGCUCAACCAUUAGAUCUGCUCGCUUAGUAGUAGUGUUUUGCACACAGUCACUCAGCAACCAAAUAUCUCGCUCAUCUAAAAUACCACUGGAGUUUACAAAUUUAAAUUCUCCCAAAAGUCACCUAACAAGUAUAUUCUCACCUAGCGACUGUCAAGUCAGUUAACUCUCAUAUUUUGGUCUCGCCCACGACUACCAAAUCAAUAGCUCUCUGAAUUUGACUUCACGUAAUGAGUAUAUGCUCACCUAGCGAGUUUGCAUAACACCAGUCAUGGAUGUCCAAAACAACCAACCAUCAAAUUAUACACAGUUCAAUGAUUUCAUUCACCUCGAAUGAAAUCUCAACCACACAGCAUCCCACAAUUUCAACAUAUCAAAAAUUCAAUCACAUCAUCGCUAAAGACAAUUCAUGAAUCCUAACAUAACUCAAUCAGUCAUAUUUCAUCACACAACUCAAUUACACAAAUCAAUUACACAAAUCAACUAUCAUUCAAGCAUAAAUUCAAUAAUUAUAACUUGUUCUUCAGUUUAAAUCAAUGUAACUAGCUUUCCUUAUCUGACAGAUGACCAAACAUCUCUAGAGAUUCUAAAAUAACUCCAAAAGCACAUAAAAUUUUAUUUACUCUUACAAACAACAAAAAUACGAUCUAAACACAUUAUUAAAACCACUGAUCAACAAAGAUUCUUAAAGAUAACUCACAUCACCAAAUGGUUCACAUAUAAAGGAAAAUGAAACAGACCAAAGAAAGAAAUAGAAAAUCAACUUACUUUAUUUAAGAAACUAAUAAGAUAGAAAUGGAAAAUUCACUUCAAGAACCACUCUAAGAAUUUAUGAUCUUCAAAGUAACAAGUAAAAAAUAAAAACUCCUAAAGAAGUAAGAAAAUUCUAAAAAGUUAAUUUUUAAAGAUAGUGGAUUUUAAAAAUAUAAAAAUCAUUUACAAUAAAACUAUCCAUAUUAAACUUUUUAAUAUUAAAAUAAUCAAAUCUUAUCAUUUUUAAAUCAAUACCAUUUCUAAAAUGUCAUUUUCUUAUUUUACAAAUUUAACACAUAAAUCAAUAUUAUACUUCUGCGUACUGUAAUUCAACACUUAACUAAAUAUUACGUUUCUAAAAAAAGUUAAAUAUAUAUUUUACUACAAAAUUAUUUUUUAACACAACAUAUUUUCAUUAAAAAUACAUGUUUUGAAACAUAUGCUUUACUAAUAAUUAGUUUAUUAAAUUAUUAUUUUACUAAAAUAUAUACUUCUAAAAUUAUUAUUUAUCAUAUAGUCAGUUUCCUAUAUUUUUUUAAAAUAUGUAUUUUUCCAAAUAAUUAUUUCUUAAAAUACUUAGUCGUCUAAAUCAUUAUUAUUCCAAAUAAUAUUUUUUCAUGAUUUUUUUCUAAAUAGUUAUUUUUUAUUUCUUAUUUCUAAAUUAUUUUUCUUAAGUUUUUUUUUUAAAAAAAAAACAUCAUACUAAUCCAAAAUUCAGUUGCUGAAUAAUUAAAUUCUGACAAGUACCCUAAUUACUACAACCUUCCAAUAUUCGAAUUCUAAAUUGCUAGUGAUUCAUGUGUCGGUAUACUUAAUUCUAAUUUAUUUUAAUUUGCAAAUAUCAUUAUCAUAGAUCAUCGUUGCAGACACUCGGACCCAAACUUUCCAAAGUCAUCUUCUAACUCACUCCAUAAACAUCAACGAUCAUGCUCCGUAAAUGCAUUAUUUCAUUAUCUUUAGAGUUUUCGAAGAGAAUUUUUUUUUAACCAUUAUUUUAACAACUUUUUUAUAAAUUUUUUAUUAAUUCAUUUCAAAUAUUUUUUUAAAAUAAAUUCAAACAGUUAAAUAAAAUAAUAAUACAUAUCUUAUCAUAAAAAAAUGUUAAAAAAAUUGUUAACACUACCUGUUGAGAAUAUGAAAGGUUUGAAAUAUAUGAGAGAUACAUUGAAUGAUGUAACAUCUUAAAUUUUAUUCAUAUAAAUAUACAUAUAAUAUAACAAAAUGCAAAAAAAAAAUAAUGAUAUUUUAAUAACCAUCUUUUAACAAUUUUUUUAUCACAUGACACAUAUCAUCAUUUUAUUGGUCUGUUUGGUUGAAACAGACUAAUCACGAGCGGUCAGGUAUGCGUUGUUAAAAAAUUUGUAAAAAAAGAAUUGUUAAAGAAACUUUUUCUAAAAGAAAAAUAUCAAAUAUUUAAAUAGAAUAAUAAUAUCAUGACACAUUUUUACAUUUAUUUAAUAUAUAAUAUAAGAAUAAAAUGAUAAAAAAUUAUAAAAUUUUGUAAGUUAAAAAAUUUAGAUGUAUGAAAUAAUUAUUUCUCAUUUAAAUAUAUUCUUAAAUACCAUUCAGGUCAAAGUUUUGGUUGUCUACUGUCAUAAUAAUUCUUCUUCCGAACCAUGGGAGCCAAAAGCUCAUGGCGCUUCAUGCUUCUUUCAAUGGGAAUGGCUCUACUUUUACUUCUCACAUGGCUUCACCUUCCAUCACUUCCAAACUGCAACUUUUAUUCAAGAUGGUGCACCUCAAAGAGCUGCUUCUACUCAUCAUCCCCUACCUAUCAUCACCUUCAAUCGGAAACUCCUCAGCACCCUCUUGACCCUCUAACCAUCCAAGAGUUCAACAAGAUUCGCACCAUCCUCUCUUCUGUCCCUCUUUUCAACUUCUCAUCAAGCUACACUCUCAACUCCAUUGUCCUUGAAGAACCAGAAAAAGAGCUAGUCCUCAAAUGGAAAAAGGGUGAUCCACCCUUCCCAAGGAAGGCUUCCGUGGUUGCAGUUCUCAAGAGGGUCUCUCAUGUUCUCACUGUGGACCUCCAAACUGGCCAUAUCACGAGCCAUGAAACCAGUAUGCUUUCUGGGUACCCCAUGCUUACUCUGGAGGACCUGUUUGGGGUGCUAAAGGCUGCCCUAAGGUGCGCUGAGUUUAACAAUUCGUUCACCAAACGUGGUGUGAAUUUAGCAGAGCUGGUAUGCUUGCCGGUGUCUUCAGGGUGGUAUGGGAAACCAGAGGAGGAGAAUAGAAGGUUGAUUAAGGUGCAGUGCUAUUCCAAAGAAGGCACUGUGAACUUCUACAUGAAACCAAUUGAGGGUGUCACUGCUUUGGUUGACAUGGAUAGAAAAGAGGUGCUGGCUAUUUCAGAUGAUGGCCAAAACAUCCCUGUGGCUAAUGGUUCCAAUACUGACUACCGUUACUCCAUUCAGAAGCUGAAUGGAGAGUUGAGGCUGCUGAAUCCAAUAUCCUUGGAGCAACCAAAAGGUCCAAGCUUUACUGUCGAUGGGCAUCUGGUGAAGUGGGCAAACUGGGAAUUUCACCUGAGACCUGACCCAAGAGCAGGGACCAUAAUUUCACAAGUCAAGGUGAGGGACCCUGACACAUCAAUGCUGAGAAAUGUCAUGUACAA